rnacentral:rRNA from 1 species
CCUACGGGAGGCAGCAGUGAGGAAUAUUGGUCAAUGGACGAGAGUCUGAACCAGCCAAGUAGCGUGAAGGAUGACUGCCCUAUGGGUUGUAAACUUCUUUUAUAUGGGAAUAAAAUGUUCCACGUGUGGGAUUUUGUAUGGACCAUAUGAAUAAGGAUCGGCUAACUCCGUGCCAGCAGCCGCGGUAAUACGGAGGAUCCGAGCGUUAUCCGGAUUUAUUGGGGUUAAAGGGAGCGUAGGUGGAUUGUUAAGUCAGUUGUGAAAGUUUGCGGCUCAACCGUAAAAUUGCAGUUGAAACUGGCAGUCUUGAGGACAGUAGAGGUGGGCGGAAUUCGUGGUGUAGCGGUGAAAUGCUUAGAUAUCACGAAGAACUCCGAUUGCGAAGGCAGUUCACUGGACUGCAACUGACACUGAGGCUCGAAAGUGUGGGUAUCAAACAGGAUUAGAUACCCGAGUAGUC